CCGAUUGGAUGACUUAGUGAGGUCUUAGGACCGACGUAAAGGAGCUUUCGCGAGUUCUUUUUCGUUGGAAAUUUGAUCGAACUACGUUAUCUAGAGGAAGUAAAAGUCGUAACAAGGUUUCCGUAGGUGAACCUGCGGAAGGAUCAUUA
rnacentral:rRNA from 1 species